rfam:Dipodomys ordii contig_28857, whole genome shotgun sequence.
GGGAAUGUGGCUUAGUGGUAGAGUGCUUGCCUAGCACGCAAGAAGUCUCGAUUCCU